rnacentral:rRNA from 1 species
GAUGAACGCUGGCGGCGUGCUUAACACAUGCAAGUCGAACGGAAAGGCCCAAGCUUGCUUGGGUACUCGAGUGGCGAACGGGUGAGUAACACGUGGGUGAUCUGCCCUGCACUUCGGGAUAAGCCUGGGAAACUGGGUCUAAUACCGGAUAGGACCACAUUUUGGAUGGUGUGGUGGAAAGUUUUUCGGUGUGGGAUGAGCUCGCGGCCUAUCAGCUUGUUGGUGGGGUAAUGGCCUACCAAGGCGUCGACGGGUAGCCGGCCUGAGAGGGUGUACGGCCACAUUGGGACUGAGAUACGGCCCAGACUCCUACGGGAGGCAGCAGUGGGGAAUAUUGCACAGUGGGCGCAAGCCUGAUGCAGCGACGCCGCGUGGGGGAUGACGGCCUUCGGGUUGUAAACUCCUUUCGCUAGGGACGAAGCGUUAUGUGACGGUACCUGGAGAAGAAGCACCGGCUAACUACGUG